CAAACACGCCGUUGUAGGUGCUGCUUCACAGCAGAGGAAAGUCCGGGCACCAUAGAGGAGCGCAUCCGUCGAAAGGCGGACAUCUCGCGGGCAACCGCGGGGUCGGGACAGUGGCACAGAGACAAAACUGCCGAACCGGUGCUUGCACUGGUGGCGAUGGUGAAAAGUGUGGGGUAAGAGCCCACGACUCCCCACUGAAAGGUGUGGAGGUGCGAAACCCUGCGUGGUGCAAGUCCAGUGGGUCCGAUCGUCGUCAGUCCGUUCCUCACGGAGACGUCCCCGGAUCUGGACGCGUAGAUAGAUACCUGCACCCGCCGAAGAGGUGGGACAGAACCCGGCUUAUGAGCGUGUUUGCACC
rnacentral:RNase_P_RNA from 1 species